UACGUAGGGGGCAAGCGUUGUCCGGAAUCAUUGGGCGUAAAGAGCUCGUAGGCGGUUCGGCAAGUCGGAUGUGAAAUCUCCACGCUUAACGUGGAGGGGCCAUUCGAAACUGCCGUGACUCGAGUCCGGUAGGGGAGUGUGGAAUUCCCGGUGUAGCGGUGAAAUGCGCAGAUAUCGGGAAGAACACCCGUGGCGAAGGCGGCUCUCUGGGACGGUACUGACGCUGAGACGCGAAAGCGUGGGGAGCGAACAGG
rnacentral:rRNA from 1 species